UAUUUUUGUUACAUUGUGGGCAAGAUGUUUGGACUUCAUUUCUGGCCCGAGUCUGAAUAUCUGCCACGACAUGAUCUCACAAUCUGCAGAUGAUCCAUUUCUCCCAGCCACUGUUUUAAGCACUAUGGAUCUCAAACAAGGAAGAAACAAAGA